AGAGUUAGUGAUUAAGAAUAUUCCAUGAUCAUGAAGGUGGUUUCCCCAGGGUGGGGCUCGCCCAUUGCACUCCGGGCGUGCUGACCCCUGUGAUUUCCCCAAAUGUGGGAAACUCGACUGCGUGAUUUAUGGUGGGGGGACUGCGUGCGUGCUCUCCCCUA